AUUGAACGCUAGCGGGAUGCCUUACACAUGCAAGUCGAACGGCGCGGCGAACGGGCGAGUAAUGUAUCGGAACGUGCCUAGUCGCGGGGGAUAACUACGUGAAAGCGCAGCUAAUACCUCAUAUUCUUGGAGCGGCCGACACCGGAUUAGUUAGCUGGUGGGGUAACGGCUUACCCAGGCGACGAUCCGUAGCUGGUUUGAGAGGACGACCAGCCACACUGGGACUGAGACACGGCCCAGACUCCUACGGGAGGCAGCAGUGGGGAAUUUUGGACAAUGGGGGAAACCCUGAUCCAGCCAUGCCGGGUGUGCGAAGAAGGCCUUCGGGUUGUAAAGCACUUUUGGCAGGAAGGCGGUACCGGCAGAAUAAGCACCGGCUAACUACGUGCCAGCAGCCGCGGUAAUAC
rnacentral:rRNA from 1 species